rnacentral:lncRNA from 1 species
UUUAAAUGAUACUUCUACCACUGCACCAACAGAAAUUUUAUUUAUCCUGAUAUUAGUCAAUUGUUAGAUGAUUUGUAUAGAUCUGUCACUAGACUGUCAGUCAGUCCUACAGUUCAUUUGUGUCUAUUUUUUUCUUAAUAUAUUUAAAUAUUUAAAGUAGUUUUGAUUUGGAAGAAAACAAAAUGAGGUGGGAUGAAAUAAACUAGGGUUCUAGGUCCCAAGGUUAUGUUUAAAUAUUGCUUCAGGUUUGGCAGAUUACUUUUUUGCAAAUUUUACAAAUUUCUUUUUAAUAAAAGAUUCAAGGUCUUUUUAGAUGGGAUUUUAUGUAACUCGAUCAUUAAACCAAAAAAGCUGUCAGUUCAAUUAGACCACGUUGGAGCCAUCUUCAUAUUUCUAAUGUUCUUAAUUGCAUUAUGGUUAUCCAGGAACUUUGUGUUUUGCAGAAAAAAAUGUAUCUUUAUUGUUAUGCUUUGUAUAUCAUGUAUAUGUAUAAAAUAAGAAUAUAUUUGUUUCUUAUCAGUGUCAGUUACUGAUUUAGAAUCAUAGCAAUAAAUUAC